AGAGUUUGAUCCUGGCUCAGGAUGAACCUUUAGAGUUUGAUUUCCUGGCUCAGGAUGAACGCUGGCGGCGUGCUUAACACAUGCAAGUCGAACGAUGAAGCCCAGCUUGCUGGGUGGAUUAGUGGCGAACGGGUGAGUAACACGUGAGUAACCUGCCCUUAACUCUGGGAUAAGCCUGGGAAACUGGGUCUAAUACCGGAUAGGAGCGUCCACCGCAUGGUGGGUGUUGGAAAGAUUUAUCGGUUUUGGAUGGACUCGCGGCCUAUCAGCUUGUUGGUGAGGUAAUGGCUCACCAAGGCGACGACGGGUAGCCGGCCUGAGAGGGUGACCGGCCACACUGGGACUGAGACACGGCCCAGACUCCUACGGGAGGCAGCAGUGGGGAAUAUUGCACAAUGGGCGCAAGCCUGAUGCAGCGACGCCGCGUGAGGGAUGACGGCCUUCGGGUUGUAAACCUCUUUCAGUAGGGAUUUAUGCGAAA
rnacentral:rRNA from 1 species